GAUGAACGCUAGCUACAGGCUUAACACAUGCAAGUCGAGGGGUAGCACGGAAGAAGCUUGCUUCUUUGGGUGACGACCGGCGCACGGGUGAGUAACGCGUAUCCGACCUACCCAUAACUCGGGCACAGCCGCUCGAAAGAGUGAUUGAUUCCCGAUAUGUCCUUGGAGUAGAUUCAAUGAUGAAAGAUUCAUCGGUUAUGGAUGGGGAUGCGUAAGAUUAGGUAGUAGGCGGGGUAACGGCCCACCUAGCCGACGAUCUUUAGGGGUUCUGAGAGGAAGGUCCCCCCACACUGGUACUGAGACACGGACCAGACUCCUACGGGAGGCAGCAGUGAGGAAUAUUGGUCAAUGGGCGAAGCCUGAACCAGCCAAGUAGCGUGAAGGAUGAAGGUUCUAUGGAUUGUAAACUUCUUUUAUACGGGAAUAACACCAUCUACGUGUAGAUGUCUGCAUGUACCGUAUGAAUAAGCAUCGGCUAACUCCGUGCCAGCA
rnacentral:rRNA from 1 species